rnacentral:other from 1 species
CCCUGCGGUGUUUUCGUUACAUUGCCUUUUAGUUUUGAGCCAACACACUUACCUAGGGAGCCCGGAAUUGAGCUCCGCCUAUUAAAAACAAGCCCUCUCGAGGGGACUUUUGCGGUAGGCGGGAGGGCACCCACCUGCACAUGCAGGUUCAAAACAUUGGGCAGGACGGCAUUGCGGGGAA